rnacentral:lncRNA from 1 species
GGGGAAUAAGCAUCGAUUAACUCUGUGUUAGCCAACAACCAUAGUAAUAGUACAAAGCAUUAUCCAAAGUGGUGAUUGGCAUAAAGCGUCUAUAGGUGGCUUUUUAAGUCCACCGUCACAUCCCAGGGCUUUAGCAACAAUCGAACAAGUGAGGAAUGUUGGGGUGAACCAGAAAAGGUUGAGUAGAGCUGGAUAUUUAUCGAGUAGUCGAAAGAAAUUGACAUCAAUACCCAAAUUAAAGCAUCUAUGCAUAACAUUUAGUAAAAGUUGGAGAAAGUAUCCAGAAACUAUCACCAUUAAGUAUCUAGGGGGAUAAGCAUCGAUUAACUCUGUGUUAGCCAACAACCAUAGUAAUAGUACUAAGCAUUAUCCAAAGUGGUGAUUGGCAUAAAGCGUCUAUAGGUGGCUUUUUAAGUCCACCGUCACAUCCCAGGGCUUUAGCAACAAUCGAACAAGUGAGGAAUGUUGGGGUGAACCAGAAAAGGUUGAGUAGAGCUGGAUAUUUAUCGAGUAGUCGAAAGAAAUUGACAUCAAUACCCAAAUUAAAGCAUCUAUGCAUAACAUUUAGUAAAAGUUGGAGAAAGUAUCCAGAAACUAUCACCAUUAAGUAUCAAAAUUCAAAAAAAUGGACCUGAGAACUAUUCGAAUACAUAGAGAAGAAGACUUCAGCUGAUCAAUCUUCUCAAAACUAAUAAUCCAUCCAUGUCUCAGUUUAAGCUACAAGUGUACUUGCCGUGGUAGACUCACUGUAAAAUA